GGGGUGGUAGCUCAGUGGUAGAGUACUUGCCUUGCAUGUGUGAGGCCCUGAGUUUGAUCCUCAGCACUACA
rnacentral:tRNA from 1 species